rnacentral:rRNA from 1 species
AGAGUGAACGCUGGCGGCAGGCCUAACACAUGCAAGUCGAACGGCAGCACAGGAGAGCUUGCUCUCUGGGUGGCGAGUGGCGGACGGGUGAGGAAUACGUCGGAAUCUGCCUAUUUGUGGGGGAUAACGUAGGGAAACUUACGCUAAUACCGCAUACGACCUACGGGUGAAAGCGGAGGACCUUCGGGCUUCGCGCAGAUAGAUGAGCCGACGUCGGAUUAGCUAGUUGGCGGGGUAAAGGCCCACCAAGGCGACGAUCCGUAGCUGGUCUGAGAGGAUGAUCAGCCACACUGGAACUGAGACACGGUCCAGACUCCUACGGGAGGCAGCAGUGGGGAAUAUUGGACAAUGGCGCAAGCCUGAUCCAGCCAUGCCGCGUGUGUGAAAGAAAGGGCCUCGGUUGGUAAAGUA